CCCCCUAUAGUUUAAAAUUGAACAUAACCUUUUCGAAGUUAAAGAAAAAGGGGUA
rnacentral:tRNA from 1 species